rnacentral:rRNA from 1 species
AUGAACGCUGGCGGCAUGCUUACACAUGCAAGUCGAACGCAGCACGGGGGCAACCUGGUGGCGAGUGGCGAACGGUGAGUAAUACAUCGGAACGUGUCCUGGAGUGGGGAUAGCCCGGCGAAAGCCGGAUUAAUACCGCAUACGCUCUAUGGAGGAAAGCGGGGGAUCUUCGGACCUCGCGCUCAAGGGGCGGCCGAUGGCGGAUUAGCUAGUUGGUAGGGUAAAGGCCUACCAAGGCGACGAUCCGUAGCUGGUCUGAGAGGACGACCAGCCACACUGGGACUGAGACACGGCCCAGACUCCUACGGGAGGCAGCAGUGGGGAAUUUUGGACAAUGGGGGCAACCCUGAUCCAGCAAUGCCGCGUGUGUGAAGAAGGCCUUCGGGUUGUAAAGCACUUUUGUCCGGAAAGAAAUCCUCUGGGUUAAUACCUCGGGGGGA